GGAGGGUUCGCAUAGAGGUCUAGUGCACCGCACUUGAAAUGCGGCAAGCCAGAAAUGGUUUCGGAGGUUCGAAUCCUCCACCCUCCG
rnacentral:tRNA from 1 species